GACGAACGCUGGCGGCGUGCCUAACACAUGCAAGUCGAACGAAGAGGCGAACGGGUGAGUAAUACGUGGGUAACCUUCCCUCCUUUUUGGGAUAAGCGUUGGAACCGGGGUCUAAUACCGAUUACAGGGGGAUGGGCUCGUGGCCUAUCGGCUUGUUGGUGGGGUGUUGGCGUACCAAGCCGGUGGCGGGUGGCCGGGAUGAGAGGGUGACCGGGAACUGAGAGACGGUGCAGCGGCCCAGGGUCCGACGGAGGGGAGAAGUGGGGGAUAUUGCACAAUGCGUGAAGCACUGAUGCCGCGUGGGCGCGUGGGGUAUGAAGGCUUUCGGGUUGUAUACCUCUUGCGCAAGGGAACGGUUAGGUGCAGAAUAAGCGCCGGCUAACUACGUGCCAGCAGCCGCGGUAAUUC
rnacentral:rRNA from 1 species